UGAGUAACCUGCCCUUCACUCUGGGAUAACUCCGGGAAACCGGGGCUAAUACUGGAUAUGACUCGAACAGGCAUCUGUUUCGGGUGGAAAGAUUUAUUGGUGGAGGAUGGACACGCGGCCUAUCAGCUUGUUGGUGAGGUAAUGGCUCACCAAGGCGACGACGGGUAGCCGGCCUGAGAGGGCGAUCGGCCACACUGGGACUGAGACACGGCCCAGACUCCUACGGGAGCA
rnacentral:rRNA from 1 species